rnacentral:rRNA from 1 species
AUUGAACGCUGGCGGAAUGCUUUACACAUGCAAGUCGAACGGCAGCACGGACUUCGGUCUGGUGGCGAGUGGCGAACGGGUGAGUAAUGUAUCGGAACGUGCCCAGUCGUGGGGGAUAACGUAGUGAAAAUUACGCUAAUACCGCAUACGAUCUAUGGAUGAAAGCGGGGGAUCGCAAGACCUCGCGCGAUUGGAGCGGCCGAUAUAAGAUUAGGUAGUUGGUGGGGUAAAGGCCCACCAAGCCAACGAUCUGUAGCUGGUCUGAGAGGACGACCAGUCACACUGGAACUGAGACACGGUCCAGACUCCUCCGGGAGGCAGCAGUGGGGAAUUUUGUACAAUGGGCGAAAGCCUGAUCCAGCCAUUCCGCGUGCAGGAUGAAGGCCCUCGGGUUGUAAACUGCUUUUGUACAGAACGAAAAGGUUUCUACUAAUACUAGGAGCUCAUGACGGUACUGUAAGAAUAAGCACCGGCUAACUACGUGCCAGCCGCCGCAGUAA